CUACGGGAGGCAGCAGUGGGGAAUAUUGCACAAUGGGCGCAAGCCUGAUGCAGCCAUGCCGCGUGUAUGAAGAAGGCCUUCGGGUUGUAAAGUACUUUCAGCGGGGAGGAAGGCGAUGAGGUUAAUAACCUCGUCGAUUGACGUUACCCGCAGAAGAAGCACCGGCUAACUCCGUGCCAGCAGCCGCGGUAAUA
rnacentral:rRNA from 1 species